AUUGAACGCUGGCGGCAUGCUUCACACAUGCAAGUCGAACGGUAACAGGCCGCAAGGUGCUGACGAGUGGCGAACGGGUGAGUAAUGCAUCGGAACGUGCCCAGUCGUGGGGGAUAACGCAGCGAAAGCUGCGCUAAUACCGCAUACGAUCUAUGGAUGAAAGCGGGGGACCGAAAGGCCUCGCGCGAUUGGAGCGGCCGAUGUCAGAUUAGGUAGUUGGUGGGGUAAAGGCCCACCAAGCCAACGAUCUGUAGCUGGUCUGAGAGGACGACCAGCCACACGGGGACUGAGACACGGCCCAGACUCCUACGGGAGGCAGCAGUGGGGAAUUUUGGACAAUGGGCGCAAGCCUGAUCCAGCAAUGCCGCGUGCAGGAAGAAGGCCUUCGGGUUGUAAACUGCUUUUGUACGGAACGAAACGGUCCGGGUUAAUACCCUGGGCUAAUGACGGUACCGUAAGAAUAAGCACCGGCUAACUACGUGCCAGCCGCCGCCGUAACAC
rnacentral:rRNA from 1 species